AUUGAACGCUGGCGGAAUGCUUUACACAUGCAAGUCGAACGGCAGCACGGACUUCGGUCUGGUGGCGAGUGGCGAACGGGUGAGUAAUGUAUCGGAACGUGCCCAGUCGUGGGGGAUAACGUAGUGAAAAUUACGCUAAUACCGCAUACGAUCUAUGGAUGAAAGCGGGGGAUCGCAAGACCUCGCGCGAUUGGAGCGGCCGAUAUCAGAUUAGGUAGUUGGUGGGGUAAAGGCCCACCAAGCCAACGAUCUGUAGCUGGUCUGAGAGGACGACCAGCCACACUGGAACGGAGACACGGUCCAGACUCCUACGGGAGGCAGCAGUGGGGAAUUUUGGACAAUGGGCGAAAGCCUGAUCCAGCCAUUCCGCGUGAAGGAUGAAGGCCCUCGGGUUGUAAACUGCUUUUGUACAGAACGAAAGGGUUUCUACUAAUACUAGGAGCUCAUGACGGUACUGUAAGAAUAAGCACCGGCUAACUACGUGCCAGCCGCCGCCGUAA
rnacentral:rRNA from 1 species